AAUUUAAUACUAAAUUAAUAAUAUAAUUAAAUUAAAUGAUUUUCUUUUAAUUUUCUAAUAUUAUAAUUAAAUAGUAAUAAUUGGGCUAAAAUUAAAAAAAAAAAUUGGGCUGAUCAGAUGAGCCCAUAUGGACAAAAAACCGGCCCAUCCGGUCAAAAUAUGCAUAAAUGGUAAAAAUAAACGGGUUCCAGCCGGUUAACCAGGGCUCAAACGGGCAAAAAAUCGGGUGAACCGGUCACCUGGGUAUAAAUUUCCCUUUUCUCUCUUCUUCCACUUGAAACCCUAGUUCUCCCACACCUCUGAUCAGCCGUCUCCUUCCUCUCUCCCCCUCUCUCUGCUUGAAUUCCAUUUUUCAUCUCCCUCACCUCUGGUCCACGUCUCCCCAGCCGGUCACAAAACCACCACCACCGGCCACCAAACAACCACACACACUCGCCACCGGCCACCAAACAACCACCACCGCCACCAUAGAGCGUUGAUCCCCCCCCCCCCCACAGCCCAUGUUUCAUAGCUUCAAAGCCUUGAAGCUUGCAAAGGAGUAGAUUUGAUUUCUCGCUCACCCACUCACUGUCUUCCUCCUCUUCCGAUCGCUCUCUUCCUCCUUUCUCGCUCACCCACUCACGGUCUCUUCCUGCCACGCCACGCUCCGGCCACGAUGCAGCCUCCACCGCCCCUCUUUGACACAUGCAAGCCGAUUUGAGAUCGGAGCAAAAACGACCGGAUCGGAGCUCUUGUUCUUCCACACAGUCAAGAUCAUAUUUUUUUUUAUCUUUUUUCUAUGUAAAAAAACUCAUCUUUUGUAAAUAAAUUUGUUCAUCUUCUUUCUU